rnacentral:rRNA from 1 species
UACAGAGGGGGCAAGCGUUGUUCGGAAUUACUGGGCGUAAAGGGCGCGUAGGCGGCCUUCUAAGUCGAACGUGAAAUCCCCGGGCUCAACCCGGGAACUGCGUCCGAUACUGGAAGGCUUGAAUCCGGGAGAGGGAUGUGGAAUUCCAGGUGUAGCGGUGAAAUGCGUAGAUAUCAAGAGGAACACCUGCGGCGAAGGCGGGUUGCUGGGCCGACACUGACGCUGAGGCGCGAAAGCUAGGGGAGCGAACGGG